rnacentral:rRNA from 1 species
AACGAACGUUGGCGGCGUGGAUUAGGCAUGCAAGUCGAAUGAAUCCCAUCUGGGUAACUGGGUGGGGGAAAUGGCGAAAGGGGCAGUAAGGCAUGGGCAACCUACCCCGGGGACGGGGAUAGCUAUUCUAACGAGUAGGUAAUACCUGGCGAUUCGGCGAAGAGGCAUCUCUUUGCCGGGAAACGAGUUUCGCCUCGGGAGGGGCUCAUGUAGUAUUAGCUUGUUGGUGAGGUAACGGCUCACCAAGGCAAAGAUGCUUAGCGGGUGUGAGAGCACGACCCGCGCCACUGGCACUGAGACACUGGCCAGACUCCUACGGGAGGCUGCAGUCGAGGAUCUUCGGCAAUGGGCGCAAGCCUGACCGAGCGACGCCGCGUGUG